GACGAACGCUGGCGGCGUGGAUUAGGCAUGCAAGUCGAACGGUAUCAUCCUUUCGGGGGUGAGAGAGUGGCGAACUGGUGAGUAACACGUAGGUUAUCUACCCUCAAGACGGGACAACCCAGGGAAACUUGGGCUAAUACCGGAUGUGAGCAACUUUUAGUGUUUGAAAGGUGGCGUAAGCUGUCGCUUGGGGAUGAGCCUGCGUCCUAUUAGUUAGUUGGUGAGGUAACGGCUCACCUAGGCAAUGAUAGGUAGGCGGCCUUAACGGGUGGUCGCCCACACUGGGAUUGAGAUACGGCCCAGGCUCCUACGGGAGGCAGCAGUCGAGAAUAGUCUACAAUGGUCGGAAGACUGAUAGUGCGACGCCGCGUGAACGAUGAAUCCCUUCGGGGUGUAAAGUUCUUUUAUAUGUGAGCAGUGCUUCUUAUAUUAACAGUAUGGGGAGAGAGAUAUUAGCAUAUGAAUAAGCAACGGCUAACUCCGUG
rnacentral:rRNA from 1 species